CAAUAGCGUAUAUUAAAGUUGUUGCAGUUAAAAGCUCGUAGUUGGAUCUCAGGAGGACUUCAGUUGGUCGGCCUAACUGGUCAGAACCGUCUGUCUCUUCCUUGUUUCUGAAUCCCGCCCGGAGUUCAUUCUUCGGGUGUGGACUUCAGAUCGUUUACCUUGAAAAAUUAGAGUGUUCAAAGCGGGCGUUUGCUUGAAUAUAUUAGCAUGGAAUAAUGGAAUAGGACCCUGGUCCUAUUUUGUUGGUUUUGAGGACUAGAGUAAUGAUUAAUAGGGAUAGUUGGGGGCAUUCGUACUGGGCCGCCAGAGGUGAAAUUCUUUAACUGGCUCAUGACGAACCACUGCGAAAGCAUUUGCCAAGAAUGUUUUCAUUAAUCAAGAACGAAAGUCAGAGGGUCGAAGACGAUUAGAUACCAU
rnacentral:rRNA from 1 species